CCUAUAUUAAAAUUGGAACAAUAUUAAAAUUGGCAUAAUACAGAGAUUAGCAUGGUUCUGGUACAAGGAUGACAUGAAAAUUCGUGAAGCAUUCCAUAUUUUU